rnacentral:rRNA from 1 species
ACAUCCAGAGAACUUAGCAGAGAUGCUUUGGUGCCUUCGGGAACUCUGAGACAGGUGCUGCAUGGCUGUCGUCAGCUCGUGUUGUGAAAUGUUGGGUUAAGUCCCGCAACGAGCGCAACCCUUAUCCUUUGUUGCCAGCGGCUCGGCCGGGAAACUCAAAGGAGACUGCCGGUGAUAAACCGGAGGAAGGUGGGGAUGACGUCAAGUCAUCAUGGCCCUUACGGCCAGGGCUACACACGUGCUACAAUGGCGCAUACAAAGAGAAGCGACCUCGCGAGAGCAAGCGGACCUCAUAAAGUGCGUCGUAGUCCGGAUUGGAGUCUGCAACUCGACUCCAUGAAGUCGGAAUCGCUAGUAAUCGUAGAUCAGAAUGCUACGGUGAAUACGUUCCCGGGCCUUGUACACACCGCCCGUCACACCAUGGGAGUGGGUUGCAAAAGAAGUAGGUAGCUUAACCUUCGGGAGGGCGCUUACCACUUUGUGAUUCAUGACUGGGGUGAAGUCGUAACAAGGUAAGCGUACGUGU